rnacentral:lncRNA from 1 species
CGACCCGGGGCCUGCGGAGUCGGUCUCCGACGUGUGCGGGGCUGCAGCGGCCUGACUUCCAGGCUCAGGUAUGUCCCCGUCCUGGAGGGAAAAGCGAGGCGCUCGGCCCGGAGCACGUGGCCAAUGGCGACCGGGGGUUCCCACGUGCUUGGUUCCAAGGCCCCCCAAUUGGCUGCCCCUCCGGAUAGAGGGAAUGUAAGUUCCCGGCUCCGGCUCCCCCACCCCCGCAGGACAACUGCUUCCGGUGGGUUUUCGGACUUGGCCCUGGAAACCACUGAGGUGCAGGGGGUGUUGUCGGGAGAGGAGAGCAGGGGUCGUAGAGAAGCCUGUAAAACCCCAGACCGCCCUUUCCUGUGCCCUUUUAAGGUUGACGCAGUGCCUUAAGAGGCUAACACAGAAGGGUAAAGUAAGUCUCCAUAAAACCCAGGGAUGAGACUAAAACUCCUCUCUGGAUCCUGUCUGGAGUCACAGGGGAACCAGAGGAAAUUUUUCUUGAAGUUUCAGCACCUUUGUGAUAUUUUUAUACGGUUAAUAAUAGCACAGUGAUAAAUUUAACCUUAACCUUAGUUUUGACAAUACCUUCAGAGAUGCCUUUUAUUUAUUUAUUUAUUUUUAUUUUUAUUUUUAUUUUUUUUUGACGAUUAUUUAUUUAGAGAGAGAGAGAACAUCCCAAGCAGGCUCUCCGCUGCCAGCGCAGAGCCGGAAGUGGGGCUCAAGCUCACAAAUGGUGAGAUCAUGAUCUGAGCCAAAAUCUUGACCCCCCCAUGCUUAACCAACUGAGCCGCCCAGGUGCCCCAAGGGCAGCCUUAUUUUUAAAGGUGAAAAACCCAGGUAUCGGAACAGUGCAUACAAGGCUUUUUUCUGCGCCUCCUUUGAGACAAACUGAAAAGAAUGUACCUCAAAAUUUGCUUUCUGUUUAAAAUGUAAAAGGUCAUUUGAAAUUUUUUCUUUUUUGUAGGUUGAAAACUACAGGCACAAGCCAUGGAAGCUGGAAUACUCUAAUGCUGGUAUUUUAACUGAUUUAUCCCAACUCUGCAGUUUACAACAUACACAUGCCUCUAAUGAGGUCAGAUAUUCUUUCACUUGUAGCAACCAUGCAUCCAGUGCAGGACAGCGCUGGCAGUGAGGGCAGCACAGCAGGUGUUCGAUUUCUCAUCUUGUCAUUUAGUUCUUACAACUUUGUGAAGGUGACGCUGUGCUCUCAUCUUACAGAUGAAGCAACCACAGGUUAGGUACUGACUCAAGCUCCUGUCACAUGUGUAGCCCUGAACACGGAUCCUCAUGUAACUUUCUGGCUAUGUGACCUCUUGGAAAGUUACUUCCCUCUCUUGGCAUUUCAUGUUGUAGUGUCACCGUAGAAAUGCUGAAACAGAUGAGGCCAGUUUGGUCAGGGGAGAGCACAGAGGUAUUAAGAAUAUAAGCUCUUCAUAGUAUUUAGUUACAUUGAACCUACAGAAGUUGCAAUUUGGCACAAAGGGAGCAUCUGUCAGCAUGUUAGGUGGUUUUGAUGAAUGAGCAGAACGGCUAUGAAGGGGGAAUUUAAAGGGCAGGACGGUGCUAGAUUGUUAGAACGUGAAAGUAUUGGACUGGAGUGAUGGGGGAAGGUUUUGUAUGGGGAGAAAUGUAACUGUAGCAAGAUGAACAGAGCCUAGUAUCAGCUAGUUCUUCCUUCUGACCUGCCCUGAUUGUCUGUAAAUACCUCGUUUUCCAGUAAUUUUAAAUAAAGAUAA